CCUACGGGAGGCAGCAGUGGGGAAUAUUGCACAAUGGGGGAAACCCUGAUGCAGCGACGCCGCGUGAGUGAUGAAGUAUUUCGGUAUGUAAAGCUCUAUCAGCAGGGAAGAAAAUGACGGUACCUGACUAAGAAGCCCUGGCUAACUACGUGCCAGCAGCCGCGGUAAUACGUAGGGGGCAGGCGUUAUCCGGAUGUACUGGGUGUUAAGGGGGCGUAGGUGGAGUGGUAGGCCAGAAGGGGAAACCCAGGGCUCAACUCUGUGGAUUGCUUUUGGAACUAUCAAGCGAGAGUGAUCGAGGGGUAAGCGGAAUUCCUAGUGUAGCGGUGAAAUGAGUAGAUAUUAGGAGGAAAACCGGUGGCGAGGGCGGCUUACUGGACAGAAACUGACA
rnacentral:rRNA from 1 species